AUAACGGUCCUAAGGUAGCGAAAUUCCUUGUCGGGUAAGUUCCGACCCGCACGAAUGGUGUAACGAUCUGGGCACUGUCUCAACUACCCACCCGGCGAAAUUGUAGUACCGGUGAAGAUGCCGGUUACCUGCGGCAAGACGGAAAGACCCCAUGGAGCUUUACUGUAGCCUGAUAUUGGGUUUCGGAAAUCUAUGUACAGGAUAGGCGGGAGACUAGGAAACAUGAGCGUCAGCUUGUGUGGAGUCGAUGUUGGGAUACCGCCCUUAGGUUUCUGGAAUUCUAACCUGCGGCCGUGAAUCCGGUCGGGGGACAUUGUCAGGUGGGCAGUUUGACUGGGGCGGUCGCCUCCGAAAAGAUAACGGAGGCGCUCAAAGGUUAGCUCAGCACGGACGGAAACCGUGCCUCUGAGUGUAAACGCAAAAGCUAGCCUAACUGCGAGGGUGACGGCCCGAGCAGUAACGAAAGUUGGAGUUAGUGAUCCGGCGGUAUGUGAAUGGAAAUGCCGUCGCUCAACGGAUAAAAGCUACCCUGGGGAUAACAGGCUGAUCUCCCCCAAGAGUCCACAUCGACGGGGAGGUUUGGCACCUCGAUGUCGGCUCAUCACAUCCUGGGGCUGUAUUCGGUCCCAAGGGUUCGGCUGUUCGCCGAUUAAAGUGGUACGCGAGCUGGGUUCAGAACGUCGCGAGACAGUUCGGUCCCUAUCUGUCGUGGGCGCAGGAUAUUUGAGGAGCUCUGUCCUUAGUACGAGAGGACCGGGAUGGACGUACCUCUGGUGCACCAGUUGUCAUGCCAAUGGCACGGCUGGGCAGCUAUGUACGGAACGGAUAAACGCUGAAAGCAUCUAAGCGUGAAGCCGACUCCAAGAUUAGAUAUCCCAUCGUAUAACGAGUAAGACCCCUUGAAGACUACGAGGUUGAUAGGCUGCGUGUGUAAGUGCCGUGAGGCAUUCAGCUUGGCAGUACUAAUAGGUCGAGGGCUUGACCAC
rnacentral:rRNA from 1 species